CCCUGCCCGAAAGGACAGAGAGGCUGUUUCCAAUCGACCCUCGGCGAAUAGGAUAAAGGAAAAAGCUGCAUUAAGAAAAUGAAAAUGGGAUUUGAAAGAUUUUGCCUUGCAUUUAAGUAAAAUAGUCCAAAUUUUGAAAACCAAUAGAAUGCAAUGGAAUUAGAGGAUACAGAUGCCUUGCAAUUUUUCUUCACAAUGCAUAUC
rnacentral:lncRNA from 1 species